CGGCGGACGGGUGAGUAACGCGUGGGUAACCUGCCUCGUACAGGGGGAUAACAGUUGGAAACGGCUGCUAAUACCGCAUAAGCGCACAGUACCGCAUGGUACGGUGUGAAAAACUCCGGUGGUAUGAGAUGGACCCGCGUCUGAUUAGGUAGUUGGUGGGGUAACGGCCUACCAAGCCGACGAUCAGUAGCCGACCUGAGAGGGUGACCGGCCACAUUGGGACUGAGACACGGCCCAA
rnacentral:rRNA from 1 species